AGGUAAACACAUAUCAAAAUUCGAAGUUUGAAAAAAAUAAAAUGCAUCUCUCGGAAAUAACCGAUCAUUUAAGAUCGGCACUGAUCGUAAAAUAAAUCGCGGGAAAUCAUAAGAGGUGCGCUACCUUAAAUUAUGAUUUUAUACCAGUAAAAUGUUAUCCAUUUAAAUGAAAUUAUAUACCAUUUUUAUGAACUGAGUGAACUUUAAACUCUGAAAGCUAUGACUGCUAUAAUAAUAUAAAGAAUUAUUUGAUUUUAGAUACUAAACAUUUGUUGAGUUACUCCCCUUUGAUAUAAAUUUACCAUGCAUAUAAAGUUAGCAGACACCAAUGUCUAACUUGUUUUGUCAUUUUCACAGUUUUCAUUUCCAUGUACAUCUAAUAUGGUUCGACAAAAGAACUUCAUCAGCCAAGGGAAUGCCACAGUCUUCGGGGAAGAAAACAUGGCUACAUCUGGAGAGAGCUUAAAGAUCUACUAUGACUAGAAAGUAAGAAAGCCCAGAUGGUCCUAUGAUGACUCAACAAUGGAUGACAAGGAAAACACAAGAACACCUUUUUAAGACGAGGUCCACUUUUGAGAACUUUGACUGGAAAUCAUAGUGCUUCAUUUGUGGUGAAAAGUGCAGCCGUCAUAGAGACAAUACAUCAAGAGGUUUUAGCAGAAGUUGGUCCCUAGGGCCAAACAAAAAAAAUUGUGUGUUUCGGGAAACGGCUGAAAUUUUUUUUAGGUAGGGUAGGUAUUUUUUUCUGGUCUUUACGAUGGCUCACAUGCUUUUGCAAUGGGAAUAUCCGGAAAAAAACAUCGUACCGAAGUAUGAGCGUCCUAGAAAUUGGACCAUAUUCCGUUUAUUGUUGAAUUCUCAAAUGCGCAUAAUUAAAUUUGUAAUCCAAAACACUCUUCCCUAUUUAAUUUUUACUCGACGUUAUCACAUUCUUCAAACAAACUGUAAAUGUACAGUGUGUUUUAAUCUUUUCUCUGGAGAAAAGCGCGCGCAAAUUAUUCCCUACAUGAACAACGUCACGUCAAACGCAUGGAAAGCGUGCGUGCAUUAAAUUUCCGUUUAAUGUUCCGUGGUAAAUUUUAACAGAAUGAUAUAGCGAAUGAUUUGGAAUUUGACAUUUCCUCAAAAUUAAUUGCAAAUCAAACACACUUUAUAUUUAUCGUUACGGACGUUUACAUAAGUCACUAUUGAAACAGUUAUUGUACUGUAUACUGGUGCAACAGAAAAUCUAGACGAAACUGGAUUAAGUGUUGGGUGUUGUCAAAACGAAUCCCGGAAUAAACCCCCUUUGGAAGAAACACCCUUCCCUAAAAACAGCAUAGCGGAAGAAACCCCCUUUCACAUUUUGCAUAAACGAAAGAAACACCCUUCCAUAGCGGAACAAACUCCCUUCCAGUUUUCAGACAGGCGGAAUAAAACCCCUUCAUAACUGUUAUUCAAACUGUUCGAAAAACAUUGACACGUAAUUCGAUUCACAAUUUUCCUGUUUGAAGCAAUAAUAAACAUUUUGUAUAUUAUAUGCUCACAUUAGUAUCACUACAUAUAUAUAUAUUUAUAUAUAUUAGAGACAAAAUAUAAACUGUGCAGUGACAA